rnacentral:rRNA from 1 species
UCCUGACUGACCGAUAGUGAACCAGUACCGUGAGGGAAAGGCGAAAAGAACCCCGGCGAGGGGAGUGAAAAAGAACCUGAAACCGUGUACGUACAAGCAGUGGGAGCACGCUUAGGCGUGUGACUGCGUACCUUUUGUAUAAUGGGUCAGCGACUUAUAUUCUGUAGCAAGGUUAACCGAAUAGGGGAGCCGAAGGGAAACCGAGUCUUAACUGGGCGUUAAGUUGCAGGGUAUAGACCCGAAACCCGGUGAUCUAGCCAUGGGCAGGUUGAAGGUUGGGUAACACUAACUGGAGGACCGAACCGACUAAUGUUGAAAAAUUAGCGGAUGACUUGUGGCUGGGGGUGAAAGGCCAAUCAAACCGGGAGAUAGCUGGUUCUCCCCGAAAGCUAUUUAGGUAGCGCCUCGUGAAUUCAUCUCCGGGGGUAGAGCACUGUUUCGGCAAGGGGGUCAUCCCGACUUACCAACCCGAUGCAAACUGCGAAUACCGGAGAAUGUUAUCACGGGAGACACACGGCGGGUGCUAACGUCCGUCGUGAAGAGGGAAACAACCCAGACCGCCAGCUAAGGUCCCAAAGUCAUGGUUAAGUGGGAAACGAUGUGGGAAGGCCCAGACAGCCAGGAUGUUGGCUUAGAAGCAGCCAUCAUUUAAAGAAAGCGUAAUAGCUCACUGGUCGAGUCGGCCUGCGCGGAAGAUGUAACGGGGCUAAACCAUGCACCGAAGCUGCGGCAGCGACGCUUAUGCGUUGUUGGGUAGGGGAGCGUUCUGUAAGCCUGCGAAGGUGUGCUGUGAGGCAUGCUGGAGGUAUCAGAAGUGCGAAUGCUGACAUAAGUAACGAUAAAGCGGGUGAAAAGCCCGCUCGCCGGAAGACCAAGG